rnacentral:rRNA from 1 species
ACCCACUGGAGCACAAUAACCUCGGGAAACUGAGGCUAAUGGUGCAUACGGCUCGAAUCCUGGAACUGGAUCGAGCUCGAAACGCUCCGGCGCCAGUGGAUGUGGCUGCGGCCGAUUAGGUAGACGGUGGGGUAACGGCCCACCGUGCCAGUAAUCGGUACGGGUUGUGAGAGCAAGAGCCCGGAGACGGUAUCUGAGACAAGAUACCGGGCCCUACGGGGCGCAGCAGGCGCGAAACCUUUACACUGCACGACAGUGCGAUAAAGGGACUCCGAGUGCGAGGGCAUAUAGUCCUCGCUUUUCACCACCGUAAGGUGGUGGUGGAAUAAGUGCUGGGCAAGACCGGUGCCAGCCGCCGCGGUAAUACCGGCAGCACGAGUGAUGACCGCUAUUAUUGGGCCUAAAGCGUCCGUAGCUGGCCACGCAAGUCCAUCGGGAAAUCCGCGCGCCUAACGCGCGGGCGUCCGGUGGAAACUGCGUGGCUUGGGACCGGAAGACCUGAGGGGUACGUCCGGGGUAGGAGUGAAAUCCCGUAAUCCUGGACGGACCGCCGGUGGCGAAAGCGCCUCAGGAAGACGGAUCCGACGGUGAGGGACGAAAGCUCGGGUCACGAACCGGAUUAGAUACCCGGGUAGUCCGAGCUGUAAACGAUGUCUGCUAGGUGUGACACAGGCUACGAGCCUGUGUUGUGCCGUAGGGAAGCCGUGAAGCAGACCGCCUGGGAAGUACGUCCGCAAGGAUGAAAUUCAA